rnacentral:rRNA from 1 species
GACGAACGCUGGCGGCGUGCUUAACACAUGCAAGUCGAGCGAUGAAGUUCCUUCGGGAAUGGAUUAGCGGCGGACGGGUGAGUAACACGUGGGUAACCUGCCUCAUAGAGGGGAAUAGCCUGUCGAAAGGAAGAUUAAUACCGCAUAAGACUGUAGUAUCGCAUGAUACAGCAAUUAAAGGAGUAAUCCGCUAUGAGAUGGACCCGCGUCGCAUUAGCUAGUUGGUGAGGUAACGGCUCACCAAGGCGACGAUGCGUAGCCGACCUGAGAGGGUGAUCGGCCACAUUGGGACUGAGACACGGCCCAGACUCCUACGGGAGGCAGCAGUGGGGAAUAUUGCACAAUGGGGGAAACCCUGAUGCAGCAACGCCGCGUGAGUGAUGACGGUCUUCGGAUUGUAAAACUCUGUCUUCAGGGACGAUAAUGACGGUACCUGAGGAGGAAGCCACGGCUAACUACGUGCCAGCAGCCGCCGUAA